GCGCCUUUCACGGCUAAUUGCUCUCUUGGGUUCCAUUCUCGCUAGGGACUCAUGUCAAAAGAGUCUGUCAACGCUCUGCCAAGAGUCGUGGGAAGCGCCCUGGUCGUGGAUUUGGUCCGGGCACUCCGGCUUCCUCUCACACUGAUAGUUGACAGAAUGGGUCAGGAUAAACGUAGUUAGGAAAGGAAAGUAAAGGCCCAUUUACACUUGCAAUUUUUGCGGCGAUUUCUAGUGCGAUUUUCCUCUUCUGAUGAAUGUGAACGACUG